UGUUGUUUGGGCGUAGGAAAACCAUCUGUUUGAUAAUGAGUCAUCAACUCCCAGUAUCUUGUAUUCCAAACACAGGCAAGAUGUCGAAAGCUAAAAAAGUUAUUGAAGAAGCCAAAGAAAUAAAUAAUCCGGAAAUCGAUUUAGUAGACAAAGGAAUAUCUAGUCUCGAAGAGAUUCCAGGCUUAUUUUCUCUGGAGAACAUCACUCGUCUGUCCCUAAGCCACAACAAAAUCUCUGUAGUGCCUGCUGCACUAGCCAACUUGAGCAACUUAGAAAUUCUAAACUUGGCCAAUAACAACAUUCAAGAGCUCCCAGUCAGUUUAUCAUCACUACCAAAGUUAAGGAUCCUCAAUGUUUCAUUAAACAAACUGUAUAACUUGCCGAGGGGUUUUGGUUCCUUCCCUGUACUAGAGAUAUUGGAUCUAACAUACAAUAAUUUGAAUGAAAAAGUAUUACCUGGGAACUUCUUUAUUAUGGACAGUCUCCGUGCUUUGUAUUUGGGUGACAAUGAUUUUGAAUUUCUACCACCUGAAAUUGGAAAUUUGAAGAAUCUACAAAUUUUGUCGAUGCGCGAGAACGACCUGAUAGAAGUUCCCCGGGAGCUGGGGCAGCUGGCGCGCCUCCGCGAGCUGCAUCUGCAGGGGAACCGCCUCGUCGUGCUGCCGCCGGAGAUCGGAACAUUGGACCUCGCCAGCAACAAGUCAGUGCUGAGGCUGGAAGGUAACUUCUGGGUGCCGCCCAUCGAAGACCAGCUCAAGCUGGGGCCGUCCCACGUGCUGGACUACCUGCGCUCAGAGACCUACAAAGUCCUGUACAGCCGCCACAUGUCGGCCAAGCCGCCGCCGCCGCCGCAGACCGUCGACAAGAGCAAGAAGGCGAGUCGCGCCGCCUAACCGCCGCCCCCCAACCCCCCGCCCCCGCCGCGGGACUACUAACACCCCCUAACAAGAUGCGACGACAAAAUAAUGAAGAUUAAUAAGUCUCAUAGUCUGACACACGGGGAGCCCGGCCCGGACCGACACACCUGUACCUGCCUUUAUUCACUGAACCGCAGAGAACAAGUGGCUAAAUACUUCAGAAUUGGUGCUACGACACACCUGCAAUGUGCAAUGCUAAUGUAGUCAUUUAUUAACUAAUCAAAAUAAAAUUAGACUGUUUAUUUAUAUUCUAUUAAUAGCAUGUCGUUUAUAUAGUUUAAACUUUCAUAGUAUAACGCUUGAGUGAAAUCAAUACUACUAAUAUUGACCAAAAAUUUGACAAUUCCAGUUCUGUGCAUAAAUACAAAAAAU